rnacentral:rRNA from 1 species
AACGAACGCUGGCGGCAUGCCUAACACAUGCAAGUCGAACGAGACCUUCGGGUCUAGUGGCGCACGGGUGCGUAACGCGUGGGAACCUGCCCUUAGGUUCGGAAUAACUCCCCGAAAGGGGUGCUAAUACCGGAUAAUGUCUUCGGACCAAAGAUUUAUCGCCUUUGGAUGGGCCCGCGUUGGAUUAGCUAGUUGGUAGGGUAAAAGCCUACCAAGGCGACGAUCCAUAGCUGGUCUGAGAGGAUGAUCAGCCACACUGGGACUGAGACACGGCCCAGACUCCGACGGGAGGCAGCAGUGGGGAAUAUUGGACAAUGGGCGAAAGCCUGAUCCAGCAAUGCCGCGUGAGUGAUGAAGGCCUUAGGGUUGUAAAGCUCUUUUACCCGGGAUGAUAAUGACAGUACCGGGAGAAUAAGCUCCGGCUAACUCC